GAGUAUUCAUAUCGAAAAAAGGUUAUUUUUUAAGUUGGAUUAUGGAAUGGUUAGAUUUAAAAAAUUGGAAAUAAUUUCACCUUAGAAAUUUACUAGUCCAAAAAAAACACACGAACAAUGUCUACAAACACAAACCCUGGUUGGGAAUGACCAAUAAAUAGGAGUUUGAUGAGGAGAAAAACCCUAGGUCCUCAAAACGCAAAAUAGUCGCUAGGUCUCAGCUUAGAAGUGAUCUCCGGCGGCCGUGUCUGAGGAUCUCAUACUGAAAUAGCAUCUCAGAAAGCCAAUUGCAUCUCUCAAUACGCUCUCGGCUCGCUAUGAUGCUCACAUCUACACCUUCUUUCCAUCUAAUUCAUCAACAUUUGAUUUGAUUUGGAAAACAACAGAUCUAUACUCGCAUUCUUUUCAACUUAAUUUACUGGUAUUUUUUAUUUCAUUUUAGGUUACUUCAGGUUUUGUUCCCGCUGCCCUUCUGUUUGGUUUGGAAGAAAAACGGGAGAAAAAUGCCUCGCCGAAUGUAAGAUUCGGUGGUGGGUAGCUUGUUUCGAGUCCUGUUCAAUUGAAAAUUUUAAUAUUGCAAAUUAUAACUUUUGGGGGGCAUUUUCUGGGUUGUGUUUGGGGAAAAAGAAAAGAGAGGAGAUGUUCUUGUUUGGACCUUUGUUUCCAUUGGCUAACAGUUUUGCAUCAUCUUUAACUUCCGGGGAUUUUAGAGCAAUUUAUUAUUAUUCUUAGAGCAAUUUCUUCAAUUUUUCUGCUUUUAACUUUUAAAAAUCUAAAAAUCAUUUAAAAUAAUUUUUAUAUGAAUUUAUUUUUUGUUUAUUAAAAUAAAAUUGAUUUAUAUUACCAUUCUUCUUAUUUGAUAUUUUUACUCAUCUCCUCUCUAAUAAAAAAUAAGGGGUAUUAAACAAAUUUUAAAACCUCGAGGCCCAUAAAC
rnacentral:lncRNA from 1 species